ACUCCUACGGGAGGCAGCAGUAGGGAAUCUUCCACAAUGGGCGAAAGCCUGAUGGAGCAACGCCGCGUGGGUGAAGAAGGUCUUCGGAUCGUAAAACCCUGUUGUUAGAGAAGAAAGUGCGUGAGAGUAACUGUUCACGUUUCGACGGUAUCUAACCAGAAAGCCACGGCUAACUACGUGCCAGCAGCCGCGGUAAUACGUAGGUGGCAAGCGUUAUCCGGAUUUAUUGGGCGUAAAGGGAACGCAGGCGGUCUUUUAAGUCUGAUGUGAAAGCCUUCGGCUUAACCGGAGUAGUGCAUUGGAAACUGGGAGACUUAAGUGCAGAAGAGGAGAGUGGAACUCCAUGUGUAGCGGUGAAAUGCGUAGAUAUAUGGAAGAACACCAGUGGCGAAAGCGGCUCUCUGGUCUGUAACUGACGCUGAGGUUCGAAAGCGUGGGUAGCAAACAGGAUUAGAUACCCUGGUAGGAUAGCG
rnacentral:rRNA from 1 species